rnacentral:lncRNA from 1 species
UUUUAAAUUUAUAUUAUAUUUUUUAUUUGCUUAUAGUAUUUACAUUUUGAAAAUUUAUGAUUGAUAUAUAUGUUAACAGUUACAAGUAGCUUAAUUGCGGAUGAUGGCACCCCAGAGUAAGCCAAGCAGUAAAGUUGGAACAUGGAUGUAAUAUUGUAUAAGCAUCUUUAAAAUUUAUUUUAAUCUAUAUGAAGUUACAGAUUUUCAUAUUUAAAUUUUUUCAUCUUUUAAUUAUUUAGUCUAUUCUAAAUGCAGAUUUUGAUGAUGACUAAUGAAUGAAGAUGGAGGUUGCUUCUUGUAUUUUGGUAUGGGCUCAUCAAUCUCUUUCUUUUAAUUAAAAAUUGGUGUGUGACAAGUGUCAAACGAGAUGGGCACUAAUGAUUGAUCUCAUUGCCAAAUCAGCUCAGUAAACAUAUUUUUCUUUGGGCACUAAUGAGGCUAUUCCAUAUGAAUUGGCUGUUAUUUUGCAGGAAGACUGUAGUGGGAAAAUUAGGGAAAGAAGACUGGACUAACAAGGAGAUCUACAUGCAGAUUUUGUUCAAACUGCUAGUUACUUGGGAUUCUUUAAAAGUUGCUUCCUCCAGAGAGAGGAGUUUAGGAACCUGUCCUUUUCUUGCCUCUAACUUGUACCACUGCCAGUGCAAGUUUGCAACAGAAUUUUCUUAAGCAAGCUAUAAUCAUAGCUUCUAAGGCUAUCUUUAUCGUUAAAAAAUUGUUUGCUUGUUUUUAUUUCCUCAAUAUUUGUAGUAGUAGUUUGGUGGCCAAGUAAUUUCUUACAAUUCAAGUAAUUUCUUACAAUUCAGCAAUUUGAUUUCUUGUGCUUGAGAAUUGAAAUAUUCUGGUAAUGAACAUAAUUUGUAGUUAAUGGGUUCCUGAAGGACUGGGUGCACAUGAAACAUGCUGAAGCUCUUUGGUCUGCUGCCUCCUGUUCUUCUUUAUUAUAGCAGCUUCAGAUGGUAGGAAUAUGUGAAUGUUUUGACACUGCCAUUGUUUUAUAAUUUUCAACAAGUAGGAACUGCAUUAUGUAGUUUUAUCUGGGAUCUGCAAAAUGAACUUCAUUUCAGAAAGAAUUUUAGUAAAUAUAGAAUAGUGAUACAAACAUUGUAAUACCUCCCUAUGUCACUAUAUAAUCUUUGAUGUCAAUUAUUGUGAUGUUAAGUUGUUCAUCAUUGUUUUAAGACGAAUCAUUUGCUUCAGAUUUGAAUGCUUUUGUUAGUGCUAGUAAUGAAUUGGAUUUAGGUCUCGGAUCUGAAUACAUAUUCAAUAAUCCAGAUCUAUAUCCAAUCCUUAGAAAGAUUGGUGGUUUCUUUACAGGUUCCAAUCUUUGAAUUUGAACCUCCUAAGAAGGUACCAUGCUUGAAUUUUUUUCCUGCCCACAGGUACCAUACUUGAAUUUGCCGGCUGUGUUGCUCAUUGUAGGAUGAAGUUGAUAAGCUUUUGCGUGCAAUUCUUAGCAAACGGGAGAGAGCCAUAAUUAGACUCUAUUAUGGCAUAGGCGGCAAAUGCCAUACGUGGGAGGAGAUCAGGCAGUAAGUAGAAUCCCAGAAUGUGUUGUUUUCAGAGGUUAAACACAGCCACCCCUGUACUGCACCUAAUCAACAGACCUUACACCCUACAGUGAUAUGGAAUUAGUAAACUUUGUUGUCAGUUCGGGCCGGCCCGAUUAGGUUCGGACUAGGCCGAUUAGGUUAGGGCCGGCCCGAUUGGACCUGGGCCAGGCUCAGGCUUGGGCCUGGGCCGGGCUCGAGCCUCGUGUUUUGAAAAAUUUUCGGGCCGAAGCCCGGCCCGAAGCCCAUAGAAAAAUUACGGGCCGGGCUCGGGUAGGAGUGUGGCCCGGCCCAGUUCCAGCCCUACCCAUUUCUAAUCACGAACACAGUUUCUAUUUUCUAGCCUUUUGCACAACCAUCAAAGUUAAUUUUAACUAUAUUAUAGGGAGGGGGUGCCGAACAUGCAUAUCAAGAAGUUAGAGAAUGGUUCACAGAGCAAGAAGCACCACAGUGCCCAGACAAAGAAGCCAUUGAACUCACUGGGGCGGCAAUGGAGAAUGUAGAACCUGGCAUCUUAGCCGAAUUCCAUAUCUGAGGUGCCAUAUGAAUAAAAAAUUUUGAAACACUCUUAGAUUCCUAGAAGACCAAAUAGCCAACCAGAGUAACAAAUAAUACUUUUCAAAUAUCGUUAACAAUUUGUUUGCUUGCUAUAAAUUAGAUUAAGUUCUGAACAUUAGAAGGCUGCAAAGUAAUAUGGAGCUCAUCACAAGUUAGAUGUCAUACUUGGUCCGCUUAUAGUUAAUUAUAAUAUAUUCAACAUCCUCAUUUUCAUCCAUCAAUCACAUUAAUUUGAUUGUUUUGAAUAGAUUCACAUAAAUAAUCGAAGCUCUCUAAUAUCACAAUCCACAUUAAAAGCUUUGCCCUCAUCGUCCUUAGCAGUUAUGAUAACAAUAAGGUUGAAGACCAGCCCAAACACUAUCUGUUAAUUGUAGUUUGAAGAAAUCUAACUCCCUAAUUGCUUUCUUCCAAACUAUUAGGACUCCACCAGAGAAACCCUAUUAAGGGACAGCAAUAAUUUUCCAAGAACUCUAGAUAGCUCUCUCAGCAUGACUCAAACAUUCACCACUUGACCUCGUUUCAAGGAGGCAAGACAUUAGGAUCAAACUUCUAAUAAUUUACUUAAAAUUAUGACAAAAAAAGUGCUUAGCAGCAACUCUCAAAUUCAAUGAUAGCACUAGCAUUGAGGAAGAGGGAAUGAGGGGACAGGGUUUACCGCCAUUCCCAAUGCAUCAUCACAUUUGCAGUUGAAAUAGAUGGUUAAAGGAAAUAGGGUAUAUUUUUAACAAUAGAUAUCUGACUGAAGGGUCCUCUGCUAUGUUCUGUACCGCAAAGAAGGUUUGUAGUUUGUGUGGAAGGUUGAGAGACGAAGAAGAAGAUUUAAAUCAAUCUAAAAUAAUCUAAAUGAGGAAGACGAUCUACAUUAAUCUGGAUAGAGGAUGCAAGGAAGAACAGGGAGAAACUUGGAAUAACAUCAGAUAUGAUCCUAGCUAGAAAUACUUGAGGAAUGAAGAUACAUAAUCACAAAAAGGAAAAACCAUAGUGGCUGAACCAUUUGUGUAAUAUCGGGCUUAAUUCUGAACGACUACUUCAAGGUCUAGCAUCUAUACGGAGUACCAAAAACUGCAGGCACAAGUUAGAGACAUAAAUACCAGAGUGAACAAAUCCACCAUAUCAGCAACACUCACUCUUCGCGAUGCAAGCAAAAACGUAAUGGUCACAUAUUGGUAAACGAAGUAGCAUCACUUAAUGUUCUAUCGUUUUAUUAAAACUAAGUAGAUUGCACCAGAAUUUACAAAAUCGAUCCUAGUCUCAGAAAUAGCAUGAUUUUCAAUCAAUAGGACUGCUUACAGUACUAGAUGCCAUCAGGUACAUUUAAGUACAAACGCUCAUGAGAUCUAUAUAAUGCCAUUAAUAGUUGCUGUCAUUCAGACUCCUAGUGGAAGCUUGGGACUCUUAUAAAUCUUAAAUUGCAUAAGGGAGACUGGUAAUGAAGCAAAGGUGGAAGAUGGAAGCACGAUACAACAUCAAACAACUACCCUUUGCUUGGCAGUUGCAGAAAAACUUCCCUGUAAUCAUUCUUAUAAAGUUACAAUACAAGAACCAGAAAAGGUUGACCCACUUUCUUCUUCUUCUUCAAAAAAAAAAAGGAAGAAGAAGAAAUGAAAAAGGAAAAAAAAUCAGCCAAAUGUCACUUGAAAAUUGAUAAUACAAUGAAUGAAAUUUUUGAAUAGGGUUGUGCUUUUGUGGCAGUCACCACGCCACUGAUCAAAGCGGAAUAUUCCACUUUUUGACAUAUAUUACGGUAAAAGAACCACCUUCCUUCGAUGAUGCCAUGGACCUAUAAUGAUAAAAGGCUUGUGCUCGAUCCUCUCUUGCCUUUCUACAUCCUAAAGCAAUAAUGGAACAAUCAUGAAUUCGAGCAAUCAUCUGUUAUCCCUUAAUGUUUACAUUUUGAAAGUUUUGCUGUUAACCUUCCUCUGACUGUGUUCAGAUCCUGAUGAUGCUUCCUAGAGUGUCUUUUCCUUUUCCUUGCCCCAAUUUUUUUCCCUCGUAGUCGCUGGCGCCGGAUCUCAGGGUCUGCCCACCCUCGUCCCCACUCUGAGAAAGAAGCGUAUGGCUUGUGCUUUUGCACUGAUAGUAACAUGUCUGCUUCAGGGUAUGCAUACAAAGUUUUCUCUGACUCGGAAUGCAGAAAUCGCAAUCCCAAGUCCGUUAGCUCUGGGUACCGUAUACAAACGUGGGGCUGCAAAUAUACAACCAUAAAAUUAGACCAUAAAUAAGUCAUCAGUCUAAGAUACGUAUAACCAUGUAUUCGAGGACUUUCUUCUCAAAUUUAGGUAGGUGCUGUCUCAAUCACUCUAUUAAAAUAGUCAUAUAAAUUGUAUGAGUUUGUGUUUCUGUAGACAGACAUGAAUGAACAUGCUUAUAUAUCUGAGUGAGUCUGUAUGCUUGCAUGGACGUGUGCAUAUCUAUAUAUAUCUCCAUGUGUCCGUGACAGGGUUAUUGUACAAACAGGGCAGAUUGGAGACCUUAGCCACACUGCCUGAAUUUACAUUAACAUUUUCUUCAAUAGAGUCCUUUUUGAUGGUACUUCAAUAGAGUCCUUCAGCUAUCCAGUAGUGCUCAUAGUGUGUCUUCCUAAUCAUUAUUCAUUGCAGCAGGUUCUCUCACUGUAUAUACUCAUUUCAUCAUGGUUUGUUCUUAGCAUCAGUUUACUGCUUAGCAAUAACAUUAGAAUGCCAAUGGUUAUGUGUCGGUUCUUGACAGAUGAGAGUUGAAGCCUCAUCUAAUGAUAAUACCAAUAAGAACACUAAAACAUGCAACAACUGAACAAGAAAAUAUUUCUUUCAGAUGUAAAAAAUGCCUAACAUUUGGAGGAUUAACUGUACAGAGCUGUUGCAAUAUCAAGUGCUUACCAAGGUAUCUCCUUCUCUAACAUAUCCCACAUUUUCCAAUAUGCGUGCAAGACCUCGCCACCAUAAUUGAUCACUUGCAGCAAACUUAUGGAACUGUACACAGGUCAUGAGAUCACAAGAUCUAGUUAGAAACAUCAGAAGAAGAACUGAUAUCUUAUGCACUUAAAUUUAAAAACAGUUAGCAGUACCGAUGCAACUUGAAGUACAAUUCUUUUGUCAACAUCUAAUUAGGGAGCAGCAUGCAAUUGCAGCUCAAAAAUAACUAUAAUUCCCUCUGCCAAAUAUUGCCUUCUUGGCUCUGUCUACUCCACAUGCAAUAACUAAAUUUCUAGGUUUCCAUUGCAGUUCUCUCUCUUGCCUAAUGUUGCCUUUACCAAGUCCUCAGCACCAAUUUAUACAUUAAAAGAUGGUGGUAUAUAGUUCUCAGACUUCAAUGGAUCCUAUCUAGAUCCAUAUAGGCAACCCCAUACAAGUGGGAUUAUAUUUUUUUUGCCUUGUUUAUCUUGUAUAAUUCUAAUGGCUUCUGAUAAGUUGGUAGAAAUAAGGGCUAACCAUAACUUGUUCAUCAAUCUAACCUCGAUGAUGCAGUAUCUUGUUAUUUUGUUAUUCCUUUGUAAAUCAAAAAUCUAGUUACGUAAUUGCCAUAGCAGCAGGGCUAUGAGUACAUCAUUCAGAAAUCUUACAAAGUCAACGAUAAAAAGGAAGUGAUAGUGAGAAGGCAAAGUGCAUAAACAAAGUACAUACAAGGGCGACAGAUGAUUUGUAUAUUUAUUUGCCUUGCAUCAUAGGACAGUGCAGAAUAAGGUCCUCCAGAUGAUAAAUGUACACUCCUUUAACUAUAUGUCAAUUUUCCAAUCAGGGGAAAAAGAACUCUAAUUUGGGUCCGAUAACUGUGAAAUUAACACCUUAAAGAGAACAAGUUCUGAAAUAGUAUGGAGACUGACAAAAUGAGGUGCAGUCCCUGAUUGAAAUGUUCAAAACUUCAAGCAGUUGUCAUUGUCUUUUCUACUAGUUUGCCAGUGCUUGUUUGGGAGCCUGACUUGUGGUUUGAGUAACCCAUAUAAAAAUGAUAGAUAUACUUGGAACUGUAAUAUUGGAGGGCUUAACUUUAUACAGGGAUUGCAACCCAUUUAAAAUGCAGUUUGCAGUAUUGUAAAAUAUUAGGAUUGCAAAAUCAUAACCUCGCUGAUCACUUCUCUUUUCCUGUGGCUACUUUCUCUUUAUGAAUUCAACACAAAGUUACAGUUCCCAUCUACGAAUGAGAUACCAACUAGACAAGGUACCCCUGCAUCCAAAUACAUCUUAAAAAGUAAACAAAGUUGUUAUUAAAGGCUUGCUUUGUGAACUAGUAUGUUGCUUGGGAAUUUUUUUUCUAGUUUCUUUUUGGUUUCCAAGAUAAAUAACUAAAUAUUCUGAGUAAAAGUUUCAGUUUUUCUUGUGUCUAUAAAAGAUAAGACGGAGUUGGGUGCAUUGUUUAGAUGGAAAAGGUUUUUUUUUUUGGGCACCAAAUUUGCCAGAAUUACUAGAGUGUAAUUAUGGUAACCUUAAAUUGGUAGAGGGUGCUGGACCGAGGACCAAGUAGGGAGCACGGGCUUAGUGCUCUCUCUCUCUCUCUCUCUCUCUCUCUCUCUCAUGCGUGCAUGUACAUGCUUCUGCCCACCCCCUUUUUUUAUUUCUUAAUGAGUCAUGGCAUCGCAUGGUACACAUGAUAGGGUUUUAAAACUCGUUCUAAAUGAAAAAUAGCAAAGUACACCCUCAUGUCUGUUUGGUUUUUUCAAUAAAAAAAGGCAUGAUAAAUUACUGUUAUCAUUAAUAACAAUCUUAAGAUCAUAGAAAUAGUAGGCUGGAAAUUAGUCAAGUUAGCUGAUAACCAAAUCAUUUGUGAUAGAUGGACCCAUACCCAACCCGCCAACCAAAUUAGUGCUUCACUUUUCAAUCAUGUAUUUGUAAAUAAAACUAAAAUGGGACUAAAUAUAGGGAGUUUAUUAUCAAAUAGCUAAGAAAGAAGAAAAAAUGAAACUGAAAAAGCAAAUGUGUUAAAUCUUAAAAAUGUUGUACCCUCCUCUUUUCUUAGGCAUCUUUUUAUCGCUUCAACCAUUAGUUAUGCGACCUCCUUAAUCCUCUGAACUAGUCUUUGAUUAGGUCAUAACCCAUCAAACAAUUACCACUGUCUCAAGGGGUUUGGGAAUGGAUUUUAAAGGUUUGUUAAGUUCAAGGUGAUCCAUCAAGUUGGGAGGACCAAACCCAAAACUGACUCAUUUAUAAUCGGGUUGGUCUUGGCUAACGCAUACCAAACCCAAUUAGAAAACACCCUCGCCCAAAACCAUUAACUUCAGGUGUGUGAGGGCGGGUUGACAAGUCCAGGACAAUAAUUGCCACAAAAAGAAAUAUCAAUUAUGCAUCAAAUCUUGAUAUUUUUAUGCUAAUGCUAGUGAAUUCUAUGCACAUGAUAGCUGGCAUUGACAAAGGAUCUAGCCUUUUAACAGGAACAAACCAUGAAAAAGGAUUCAUAAAGUUGACCUCCCACACUUGUUCUUUUCUCUUUUUCUCUAUGCUAAUGAUUAGAUACAUAUUUAAUGAUAGACUAAUGUCAUGUUGUUAAUUAAGAAGACAUUUCUGAUGAUAAACCUCAUUUAGUAAGUGUGAAAUAUAGACCUAAAAGCAGCAGUUUCAAAAUCUUUAUAGGGAUCCCAUGUUUUACAAUGAACGUUUCAAAUGCUCUCCAGACAGUUUGCCUAAAUCAAUUUGAGAUCGGUCUCCCUAACUUUGCAUAUGUAAGUCAUGGUAUACUCAAUACAAACCUGUUCCCUUAUUUUAGCAAUGACCAUCUUGAAGUUGGGCUUCUCAAUGAACCUCCUGCUACCAGAUCCACUAUAUACUGCACCACCAUGUGAUACAGGGCUAAUACUUGAAGACCCCUGAAAAGAAGAACAAAUAUAGAUGCUAUAUAAUUAAACAUUGCAUAUCCAACAUGCAUAGCACAAACAAAUAGCACUAAGUUACAUCUCUGUGAGCAUAAAUCUUAGACAUUUUUUCUUAAUAGAGGAACAUAUGCUAAUGUAAGAAGCCUUACUAGACCAAAACGAAGAACCUAUGCAUAAGAAAUUUCUUUCUGAAACAUAAUCUGAAGAUUAAUAAACAAUUAUAAAUGUAGACUAAAAUUAUAUGUUUACAGGUUAUAUAGGAUUUAGGAGUGUAACUAACUCAAAGAUUUAUGGCAAGGUGCUUAAGAGUAUACCAUAGUGGCUGGUUUUUACCUAUGCAUCAAGUAGUCAUGAGUUGAAUAAUUUCUAAACAACAAUAAAGAUAUUUAGCUUAGUAGAAUAUUUGGUAAGUAUCGUAGGUUCCUAACCACUUGAAUUUUUGUGCAAAAUUGUUUUAACAAAUGCAUAUUCGGAUAAAUGUUGUGGAUUAUUGAUUUGGAUGGCCCAUGAUGCACUUCUGUACUUGGGCAUGAACUUUUCUCUUUUUUCUUUUAUUCUUUUACCCCAUGGAAAGUGCAGAGGUGGGGGUGGGGAGGGGAGCAUUGCAAAACCAAUGUUACUUUUGCCCAAGAAUCAUUAGACAAGUUCCCAUGCACACAUAUACACAGACACAAACUAAUUCAUGUCGCUUUCACUCAGCAAAACACAGUUGCAUGCAACUAAAGAAUCAAUGAGGAAGAAAUCUUCACUAUCAUAUACUUGUCAUUAAGUUCAUAGAUGUUAAUUUCAAUGUAAAAACUGCAAAAUAUUUGAGGAAUGGAGAUUUAGGGUAGCAAAUUUGAUCAAAAAAAAAAAAACUAGGCACAUAAAAUCUGGAUGGAUGCAUUUAAAAUAAAUCUUGCUGCUGCUUAUCAUAACAAGAAAACUCUUACUGUUGAGCAGUAAUAAUUUAAACCAAUAUAAUUAGUGAACAAAAUGAAUAAAUAAAACAAUAGAAAAAUAGAUGGUCAGCAAAAUACAUUUUUUAGAAUGUAGGCAGCAUAUCUUUUUUACUGUUAAUGCUUUUCAAUCAAGAGAAAAAAGUAUUUACAAAUUCUGAACCUGGAACUUCUAUUUUUGCAACAAAAACUUGAGAAUUUUAAGCCAAUACUUUUUUUGGAUGCAAGAGUAGCUCCUUUAAACUCUAUGUUAAAAAGAAAUAUAUUUUCUGCAGCUCUCACUAACUAAUCCAUAAGCAUAACAGAUAACAUGUACAAUGCCUGCUAGCUUGUUUGUAACAGAGAUGAUAAUAUUAACUACUAUAAUGGAAAACCAUUCUUGCAAGAAAGCGAACUCUGAACCAAAGAAAGGGUAGAUGAUUAAAUAUAAAAUGCAGAUAAUACAUAUUACAUAGUAUGUAAGUGCUACAAAAUCUCACGCAUUCAGCUCUGAGAAACAGCAAAAAAAUAUCUGCUUCCUCCUUCAGAUUUUGCAUUUCAGGAACCCCAGUAACACAGAUGUCACACCUGCACACCACAAGUGUUUUUUUUUUUUUUCCUAAGAGAAAAAGAAGAAAAGCCUAAAAGAGAAGAUGAACAAUGUAAAGACAAAUAGCAUGCUACACACAAAAAAGGAAUUAAGGAGGGAAUCUUGUAAAAGCUACAUUUAAAGUUCUUUACUCUUUAUUUGAAUAUAAUGAACAUGAUCUAGUUCCCAGUUAAUAUAAUUAAAAUGAACUUAUGAUCCAUGACUGAUAUGAUCUGAUGACCUAUGUUUUAUGGUAUGAUUCAUUCCUAUUACAUUGGCAGAUAAAAUCCAACCUCAAGUAACUAAGGAAAGAUAGAUGCAAGUCACAUUUUAGAACAUUAUUACUUAAUAAGAAGUCAACUCUAACAUUUUUAAUGACAACGAACUGUGAUGCUAGCCAAACUUAGAAAGAAACUGCAUGCACACACUUACGAAACCUCGACCAUAAGUAUAAUCAUUAACUGCUUGGAUUUUGGAGUUCUUUAAAAUCCUUCUUAGAAAGUUGUGUCUACCAAGAGCUACAUCUAUCUUCAUCUCAAGCUUCUCCAAAACCUCUCUUUCAUGCGUCCUACCUUAGAUCAUCCUUCUUUCUGCAUUCAUAUCAACUCACUACUUUCUUAGGUCCUAUUUGGCUAAGCUUUUAGAGUAUCAGAAAGUACUUUUGGAUGGUAUGAUAAUGUUUGGUAAAAAAUCGGAAAGCUGUUUUUGUUUUACCAGAAAGCUAAAAAGAUCUACUUGGGGAAAGCUAUAUUUUGAAGCUUUCCUCAAAAAUGCUUUCUAGCUAAUGUCGAGAAGUUGUUUUGAUUUAAAUAAAAAUUUUUUAAUGACCAAAAUAUCCACUAACAAAUCUAAUAUCGUACUAUAUUAUUAUACUAUAAAUAUAAUAUAAGAUAAUAAUAAAUUAAUAUAAUAUUAUUAUAUAAUAUUAAUAUUAUAUUAUAAUAAACAUAUAAUAUAAACUAUUAUUAUAUUAUUUAAAUAUAAUUUGAUAUAAUAAUAUUUAUUAAUAAUAUAAUAUUAUUAUAUUAUAAUAAUAUAAUAUAAUCUGUUAUAUUAUAGUUUAUUAUUAGAUUAUAAUCCAUUAUAUUUUAUUACAUUAUAUAUUACAUCAUAAUUAUAAUAAUAUUAUAUUAUUAUAUUACAUUAUAUGAUAAUAAUAUUAUACAAUAAAAUAAUAUUUUAAAAUAUAAUAAUAUUUAUGUUAUAGGCAUAUAAUAUAAUCUAUUAUAAUAUUAUUAUGUUAUAAUAAUACAAUAUAACAUAAUAAUAUUUUAAUAAAUAUUAUAUUAUAUUAUAUUAUAUUAUUACAUUAGAUUAUAACUAAUAUAUUAUAUUACAUUAUAAAUUAUAUUAUAUUUAUAAUAAUAUUAUAUUAUAUUACAAUAUUAUGUGAUAUUAUAUGAUAAUAAAAUAAUAUAGUAUAAUAAUAUUUUAAUAUAUUAUAUUAUAUUAUUCUCCACUGUACAAUCAAUGCAAUAUCUUUUAUUUUUAUUUUAUGAUAUCAAAAGUAUUUUUUUAUUUUAGUUACCAAACAUAUGUUAAAAUUUCAAGGCACUUUAGAAAUGUGGUUACCAAACAGCAAAUAGCUUUUUGUAAAAAUUCUACUUCCAAAAGCUCCCAAACAGAGCCUUAAUUGGUUCAACACCUAUGCUUCCUUUAAUGUAUGCAAUCCUACUUAUGCCACCCAUCCACCUUCCAUUCACAUCAUUUCGGUGUUCAGCUUAAGUGCCACACAACACUCAAACCAAGAAUAGCCUUUGUUCUAUUCCAUAGCUUCUUCCUUUUGACUUUUAUGUUGAUUACCUAGCACUUCUACAGCUUCUUCCUUCUGACUUCUAUGCUGGUUACCUAGCACCACUCCAUCCACCUAGCUCCAAUUCUACCUAUCAUUAAAACAUGUAAACUAAUGGAAAAUAUGAGGAACUAAAAGCAAGAUUCAUAAAAUAAUUUCUAACUUGCCCAAUGUAAUCAUGUUAUUGUUUCCAAUAGUUAUAUAACUUUCAUAUGAGCAAAGGUUUUCCAUCAACAUCCUGUGACAUGUAAAUAACUUUCAUAUUGAGAUAUAUAGAUACCAUUGCAUAUGCACAGAAAUAUUAACAUAAAUUUUCAUCAGAAUCAACAAUUGUUUUCAUAAAUAAUGCCUCCAGCAUUACAGAAAAAGAACCUUCAGGAAUACCAUUAUAAAAUGAAAGUGGUAUGCAAAAGAGGUUAAUGCAGCAAGAAAGUUCAACUAAUAAUAUUUCAAAGACUGACCCCAGAGUUUUGACCAUUUAAUAAACUACAAGAGGUGUAUAGCAUUUCAAGAACUCAACAUUAUAAAUAAAUUUCUGUGAGAACAGACACCUACUGCUGACAUAAUUUUCACUCCCAAUUAAAUUGUCUUAAUUGUCACCUACAUGUUUGAGGCAAUAGGAGUUAAUACUUGUGCUAGUUUGACUCGGAGUCAUGUAUAUAACAUGGGGGGGGGGGGAGAGAGAGAGCAAAAGAAGAUGAACAUACAAGUUGCAUUUAUCAUAACUAAACUCUUCCCCGAAGUAUUUUACUAGUGCUCUAGCUCGGCAAGUUGCAGUAUUCAUACCAUAUCUGUAAAAUAGCAUACACACCUUUUUAUGCAAGUCAUACGAUGGAAAGAUGGGAAAGUCUGAUUUUUUUAAGAUAGAAAAGUCAAGAAGUAUUUACCGGAAGCAGUCGGAUAGCAUUUUGUAUGCCUGUUUUGUCUGUUCUUCACUUCUUUGACUAGGAAGUAGUGAUGGUAUUCUUGAUAAAUUAGCAUAUAAAGCUGUGCCACAAAUCCCAAACAAAUUUAGAUGUACGCUGUUAGAUAUAUAGGCAGAGUUAAAAGGAAACAGUUGAGUUGUAUGUGUAAUAAGGUCUCCAACAAAAUUUUAAAUUGAUAAUAUAUUCCAAGAUUAGUCGCAUAUAGCUAUGAUAAAAGAAAGAUAAAAACCCCAAUUCCAAUCAUUUCUGGACGCAUAUAUGAUCAUCCAGAUUCAAGCCCAUUUUCAGAAGCAAACUUGAUCUGAAUACCUCGGACUAAAUAUAGAUUCCGAGCCAGAAAUCAUAUAUUCAUUUGGGUUUGAAUCUGACAAUCCAAAGUAAAUGUCAUGUUUAAAUCCCUAGAAAGCAGUCACGAACAGUGCAGCGAUAUAUGCAAAGUAUUAGACGUAUCUUUUGUAAGGAAAGAUUGAUAAAGAAGGGGAAAAAUCAUGUUAUACAUGCAAGAAUUGAGGGGACAAUAACCUAUUGCUAUCAAACCACGUAUACUCCAUUUUGUGCGGAGAGAAGAAAGGCAUACUCAAGUAUAUUCUAGCCACUACCAACAUAAUAACUAAAUGGCCAGAACUGUAGCACUUUUAUAGUUAAGUUUAAUCACCUUAAUCCAUAUGAUACCACUGGAACACAUAUUACUAACAUCAACUUAGUUAAGCAAGCAUUUGAAAUAAUAAGCACACAUAAAACUUAUUGUCUUUAGGUUUUUUUUCAGAAAAACUCAUGUCACUCUUAUGGAGAGAUAGAGAGGCUAAGCUGUGAAUUACAACUGAAAUAAUCCAUGGACAUACUGCAAUCUGAUAGUUUUCCAUCUCUUCCAGCUCGACCAGCUUCUUGAUAAUAAGCAUCCAAACUCUGCAGCCAAAACAAGAUGAGAUGAUCAUGGAAGAAGAUAUUACUAAAAAAUCAAAAAACUUACAUAGAAAAUGCAGAAGAGACACCAUAACAAAACUGCCGUAAUUGGUAUAAAGUACUAAAAUGCAAGCAACAACUACUAAACAAUGAGUAUUUCUUUCAAGCAUAAGUUGCAUUGGCAUCACUAGGAAGAAGCAGCAGUACUCCAACCAUAAUUAUAUACAAAGUUGUCAACUAAGAACUGUGUUGGUCAAUGCAAGAGAACGAAAGGAGAGUCAAAUAGAACGGCUUUGAUAAGCUUAGUAUUAAGUUCCAAAUAACAUGUCAAACAAGAAAAGAACAUUAACUGGAAAAAUAGGUACUGAGGUAUUCUUUGCUCUAUGGCAUGAACAAAACAAAGACUGCUGAUGUGCAUGGCUGAGAAGGAUUCUGUGCUGCUGUUUGAAUAUCCAACUCCCAUAUACGUAUGAUAUCCCAUAUACAAGUUGGAGUUGCUGAAGAAAUGAGGUGGUGAAAAGAUUUGGUGGGGCUUGGGGAAGGUGACUGGCUUCAGAUUCUUAGGUUAGCUGGGAUUCUGGAAAUCACCAUUCGUAUAAGGAUUCCGGUGUCUCAAAACAGGAUUCCAAGAUCAGUGGCCUCCCCUUUCCCUACUUAACCCCCUGUAUUGGUUAUCCCAUCUGUUCAAGAAUUGAGGAUUAUUGCAUGGAUAACAGACUUGGGCAUUGACAUAUCUACCAAGUCUUUCCAAGUCAGAAAG